GAGCUCUUCUCACAUGGGAAACUUCUUGGUCCAUAAAAGGGGGUUUUGUUAUAUGGACCUCCAGGCACCGGGAAGACCAUGCUUGCAAAAGCUAUUGUCAGAGAGUCUGGAGUUAUUUUAAAAAUAUGAGGAUCUCCAAUCUGAUGAGCAAGUGGUUCGAUGAUGCACAAAAGCUCGUGCUGUUGUUUUUAGCCUGGCUUAUAAACUCCAGCCUGCUUUUAUAUUAAUUGACGAGGUUGACAGUUUUCUGGGGCAGCGUCGUACUACAGACCAUGAGGCAUUAACCAAUAUGAAGACUAAGUUCAUGGCAUUAUGGAAUGGGUUUACUAUAGAUCGUUUGUUCUUACUCUUGAAACAAGUCCUAUAUUUGUGCAGUCUUUUUAUACAGUGACUUGCUAGAAUGUGUUUUAUGUAAGAUUUGUGAAAGUGAUUUAUUCAUGGGCCUGGCCUGGGUGGACUCAGUGAUAAUAUUCUUACAGAGAAUGCACAAGAGAUGGUACUUGCUGGAACCAGCCGACCUUGAGAACUCGAUGAAGCAAUCCUUCAGCAUCUUCCUCAGCCUUUGAAAUUGGGAUACCUAAUCAAAGAGAGAGGGCUGAGAUCCUGAAGGUCGUUUUGAAAAGGGGAGAAAAUCGAAAGCAAAAUUGACUUUGACUACAUAGCAAGUUUUUGUGAGAGCUAUACUAGUUCAGAUUUUCUUGAACCUUGCAAGAAAGUAGCUUAUUUUCCUAUUAGGGACUUAUUGGAUAAGGAGAACAAGGGAAACAAAAUCUAGAGCACCAAGGCCAUUGUCCCAGUCAGACUUGCAGAGAGUUCUUGGCACAUCAACUAAGACCAGGGUUGCUGCAAAUGAGUACAGUAGUUCAAGCUCACAUUCACCUAGGUGGCCAGGUAGUCAGAUGACUACCAGGUUCAAGCCAUAACUAAUAAGCUCUCUACACUCAUAGUAUCUCAAAUUUUGAAUCUUCAGUCGGAUAAUCAGGACCCUUGAAAUAUUCAUUUGUUUUUUCUUAAUAUCAGGCCAAGACAAAUUGUAUUUUAAAUUAUUUUAAUGUUUUUCCUAUUCUGAAAUGCUCUAAGUAGAAUAUGUUGUUUUUAGGCAACUCAGAAUUGCAGAUUUGCUGUA